rnacentral:rRNA from 1 species
AUACGGAGGGGGCUAGCGUUGUUCGGAAUUACUGGGCGUAAAGGGCGCGUAGGCGGAUUGUCAAGUCAGAGGUGAAAGCCCUAGGCUCAACCUGGGAACUGCCUUUGAUACUAACAGUCUAGAGGCCGAGAGAGGAUGGCGGAAUUCCCAGUGUAGAGGUGAAAUUCGUAGAUAUUGGGAAGAACACCAGUGGCGAAGGCGGCCAUCUGGAUCGGUUCUGACGCUGAGGCACGAAAGCGUGGGGAGCGAACAGGAUUAGAAACCCCAGUAGUCC